UACGUAGGGGGCUAGCGUUGUCCGGAUUUAUUGGGCGUAAAGAGCGUGUAGGCGGCCAGGUAGGUCUGCUGUGAAAACUCGAGGCUCAACCUCGAGACGUCGGCGGAAACCAUCUGGCUAGAGUCCGGAAGAGGAGAGUGGAAUUCCUGGUGUAGCGGUGAAAUGCGCAGAUAUCAGGAGGAAUACCGGUGGCGAAGGCGGCAUCCUGGACCGACAUUGACGCUGAGGAGCGAAAGCCAGGGGAGCAAACGGG
rnacentral:rRNA from 1 species